UCAUGGAUGGGUGUUAGGUUCAGUUUCCUUCCACUCUACUCAGUUCAAAGAACUGUUGUCCGAUGAACCAAGUGUGAAGCUACUACAUGUCUGCAUCUGCCAAAUAGUUAUUCCUCCUCAACAGUUUGCAAUGAGUGCAUCUGCCAAAUAGUUAUUCCUCCUCAACAGUUUGCAAUGAGUGAAGGAUUGGAUCAGAUAUCACCACCAAAUAUAGAUGAUUAAGAAAACAGUGCUAGUGUACAAAAGCUAAAGUUGUUGGCAUAAAAACAUUAAUAAAAUAACUCACCGUUACCAAGGUCAAAACCUUUGUUCUUUGCAGCCUCUUCAAGUCCUAAACACUUAGACUUUCUUAGCCUCUCUUGAAGCCU
rnacentral:lncRNA from 1 species